GUGUGGCUUUCAGAGGAGACCUGGCUCCUGGACAGAGGAGAAGUCUGGACCUAAAUGGAGUCCACGCCCCCCAGAGCUCCAGGUGGAGCGGGCACUGCAGGGGUCCUGCUGCCAACAGUGUUCCCUCCUGGUGGGUUGCACCCCCUCGCUGAGGUAGAGCCUGCAGAACAAGCCAAAACAGAGGGAGACAAGCAUCAGCCUGGACACACAGGAACAGGAGAUGAACUGGUGAGCAGGAGGACACAGUGCAUCUAUUCCCUUUCUAUUAUUCAGUAGUUUUAAUUUAUGAUAGAAUGAUACAAAUCUAGCUGUUUCUGUAAUUAAUUAAGUAAUUAGUAUUAUCUGCUUUCUUAUCUCUUAUCUUAUAUCUUAUCUGCUUUCUAACACUUCUUCCUAGGAGAUGUAUUCAUUUGAUAGCUCUUCAGACAGUGAAGACGAGGGUAUUGGCAAGAAGGAGUUGAAGAAAAAGAAGCUGAAAAAGAAGAAGAAGAAGAAGAAAGACUCCAGCUCAUCAUCAUCCUCCUCUUCCUCCUCUUCUUCCUCUAGUAGCUCCUCAGACAGUGAGAGUGAGGAAGAAGAAGAAGAAGAAGAAGAAGAAGAAGGAAAAGGAUGAGAAGAAAGAGUACGUCUGGGACAGUGUUAUCAUAUCUCAGGCUGGUCCCGAUGGCCAAAUACAACACCACUUUGCAGAAGGCCUGAGCCAGGAUUCCAGCUCAUCAGAUGAUGAGGAUGACACGAAGAAAGAGAAGAAGAAGAAGAAAAAGAAGGAUUCUUCUUCUUCCUCAUCUGACAGUUCAUCCUCUGACAGUGAAGAUGAAAAGAAGAAGAAGAAGAAGAAAGAGAAAAAGAAGAAGAAGAAGAAAGGGAAGAAGAAGAAAAAGAAGAAGGACUCCUCUUCAGAUAGCUUUUCUUCUUCAUCGUCAUCUUCGUCUGAAAGUGAAGAUGAAAAGAAAAAGAAGAAGAAGAAAAAGGACAAGAAGAAGAAGAAGAAGAAAAAGAAAGACAAGAAAAAGGACUCAUCAUCAUCCUCAUCCUCUGACAGUGACAGUGAUAAGAAGAAAAAGAAGGACAAGAAGAAGAAGAAGAAAAAGAAGGAUAAGAAAAAGGAUGAGGAGGGUGAGCCCAGCGCUGCUGCUGCGGCAGAUGGAGAGAACGCAGAACCAAGUGCUGAUGGAGGCAAAAAGAAAGCUAACGAUGCUAACAAGGUUAAGUCCAAAGAAGAAACCAUAGUCUCUUCGUCAUUGGCUGCAGGGCGAGCAGAGGCAUUUCCUGAGGGCAUCGAGGAAGGCAGCCUGAGUGAUGAUGAGGGAGAAGGAGGUGAAGAGAAGGACAACAAGAAGAAGAAGAAGCUGAAGAAGAAAGAGAAGAAGAAGGAUUCUGGCUCGUCUUCAGACAGCGACGAUGAUGACAAAAAAGACAAGAAGAAGAAGAAAAAGAAGAAAACGCACUCCUCCAGCUCCUCAUCCUCCUCUUCAUCUGAUAGCUCCUCUUCAGACAGUGAAGAUGAGAAAAAGAAGAAGAAAAAAAAAAAGAAGAAGAUGAAGAAGAAGAAGGAUAAGGUCUGUCUUGCCAAAACCUGUUUUUAUUGUGUUGCAUUUGAAAUCAAUUAA
rnacentral:lncRNA from 1 species